rnacentral:lncRNA from 1 species
ACUUGUAGCUGAAUGGUAGUAUUAGGGUUUCUGCUUUUUGGUAGCUUUAGGGCUAGGAGGACAGUUGGUGGCAUGUAGGAAAUUUCAAAUCAUUCCUUGAUGCCUUAUCUGAUUAUAGGUACUUAGAUACAGCUGAGUUUGGUAGAAAGAAUAACACAAGGGCUGGGAAAUAAAGGGAGAGAAAUGUUCUUUAAACUCCGAGGCACGAGUGAUAUGCAGUUUAUGUGAAGAUGAAUAUGUAUCUUUUAACACUCCAUUCUCCUUCUGUAUUUGGGUCCUGGAUCUGCUACUGAACACAUAUGUGACUUUAGAAUGAGUAUUAGAGGUGAUCCAAAACUCACAUCUGACAGAGAAGUAGCCAGAGGCCCUUUAAAAAUGAAGCCUGCCUGAACAUUGAGAGAAAGGACUCCAACCCCAAACUAGGACAUGCCAAGGGUCUCACUCUGGUUGCCCAGGCUGAAAGUGCAGUUGCGUGGGUCACUGCAGCCUCACCCUCACAGGCACAGCUGAUUCUCCCAUCACAGUCUCCCAGGUAUGUGGUACUAUAGGCAUGUGCCACCAUGACCAGCUAAC